AUUUUUUCAGCACCGCUAUAGCCAGAGGCUGUUUUUGGGAACAUGGCUCUUGUGUAACAGAUUUGCAGAGCUAUGCUGGAAUGCAUGUCAUUAUACUGUCUGGGCACCUCAGCUGUGAAGAUAGAAGACAAGCAGUAAUCCCUAUGAAUGGCAGCUGAACAUUUCUGCAGAAAACUCGCAGAUAACAGGGCCAUGAAUAUGAAGAUAAUUAAGGAAGACCUCUACAUCCAUGCUACAUGUGAGAGUAUGAAGACACCCAUCAGUACCUUGACUUUUCUCAGCUGAUAGCUGACUUGACUACUUUGCUGAGGUCUUUGGUUUCAUACAUAUUUUCAGCAGCUGAGCACUUCCUAGUAUCUGCAUAAGGGUUCUUUUAGGGUUCUUCAUGGGACCAGGACACUGCACAGAGCAUGAAGCAAUCGUGGAGCUGGAGAGAUCUGACUGUCCUGAAUGUCAGCUUCAAAGUAAGUGCUCAGUGGCUUAUGAGAAAUGGAGCUUGCCUCUGAGUGCCUCAAUAUGCUGAGAGGACAAGCUUGCCUUGAAAAAAAUGGAAAAUAAACAGCAACGAUGAAGCAGUGCCCUCCUUUGCAUCCAACUCUAAAAGCAAGUGGCUGAUGCUCCAGGAACAUUGCCAGGGUUAUCUCCUUGUGGGAUUUUACUUUCAAGGAAGCUGUAAUCAAGCUACUUUUAUACAGCUCCUCUGUACGUUGCUGUUCCUUGCCAAGAGUCAAAUUUUAAAUUCCUGGAAAAACGGAACUCCACAUGCCACCACGUGGACAUACACCAUCAAAUGGUAAUUUAAAAUCUGCCUAUUCCUUUCUCUUCAUGAUCUUAGCAUGCUGCUUGUGACUUUUCCCUUUCUUCCUAGGUACAAGAGUUAGGGUAAGGCACAAGCCUGAUAACUCUUAUGUGAUAAAUGGCCCAGCCAAAACCAAUGACAAUGCCCGAGGAUCUGGAGAACUCUUGUGUGGAACUGUAAGCACAGACCUUCUGCUGCCUAAGAAUCUGUAAAGCAGAUUUAGUUGCUUUAAAAAGACAGCUGGACUCUUAUCACCUGCUGUGCUUGUGUUCUUCCCAUCACUGUUGAUAUAACUUAGAUUGGAAUCUGAGUCUCUAAUAAAACAUUUGAGUGUUUUAUUUUGCAUUUUAUUUUGUUGUGUUUUUUUAAUGCACAUCAAAGUCAUUCAUAAUUCCCAGAAUUUUCUACACUGAACUGUUUGGUUAAGCAAAGACUCUAGUGAUGGUGUGAAUUAUUUAUUUAUACUGUCUACUUUUAAGUUGGGGCCAACAUUAAUUUGGCUGGGUCACUGGCAUUGUGGAUUUAAUUGCCAUGUAAAUAUCUGUGGAGCCUAUGUCUUUAAUUAGUGCACUAAAUUCUACACAUUUGAUGAAUAAAAUAUACUCAUUUUGACAUUUUAAAACAGUUAUUUUAUUAAUGAAGAAUUUAUCAGUGUUAUGCCAAUUCCCUUGCCUUUUGUUAAUUAUAUGCCUCUCUUGCAUUUUCUGAUAUGUUAAUUUUGUUUGGUAUAAAUAUUUGUCCUCAUUAAGAUGAAUACAUUGUCAAUGUUGACUCACUCUUUUCCUCCCAACAGAUAACUUAAAUAGGACUUCAUUUUUUUUCAUCUUAUUACUCUUUCUGAUUUGUAAGAAUCAUCUAGCUCUACUCCAUAAAAUCCUGUUCACCUAAGGAAUGGCCUAGCUUUCUCUACGUGGUAUGCAUGCCAUGUUGAAAAGGAUAUUGGAUAGGAUUUAGCUAGCUAUGUUUUUUACA